CACUUGGAUAUAUACUCUUACUAAAGUUACUAAUGUUAAUAUGUAAUCUAAAACCCACUUCAAGUUUUCUGUAAUUCGCUGCAUGGGACUUUGUUGCUGCUUAUGUACUAAAGCCCUUACUUUCUUAGCUAUAGCGUGACUUUAUUUUGCAAAUUGAGUUCAAUAUACAUAAUUCUAGAAGGCACAGGAUGUUGUUGUAUGACAUCAAACCUCCCCCAAACCAAGCAGGAUGCAGAGACGUGUUUAAUUUUUCAGUAUAUUGUUUGAAGGCUUGUAUUAUAGUCAGUAUAUUCUUAUUUGGAGUACACAGUAUCCACUCAUCGGACUGGAAACUGAGCUGA
rnacentral:lncRNA from 1 species